CUGUGAUAGACUGGUGACCUGUCCAGGUGAACUCUGACUUCACCCUAAGUCAGCUGGGAUAGACUCCAGCCCCCCCGAGACUUACUUGAAAAUUCCUAAAAUUGUUCCAAAGGAGAGAGCUUAGGGGGUCAGUGCAGGACAGCCAUGUUGUUAGAACGUGGUAUGUCUUACAACAGGGGUGUCAAACAUGCGGCCCGCGGGCCAAAACCGGCCCGCCAAAGUGUCCAGUCUGGCCCACAGGAUGACUUUGCAAAGUGUGAAAAUGACAGAGAAGACAUUAACUGUAAUUUUUCAAUGACAGUAACUGCUAUCUUAAAUUUGUUCACUGUACUGCCACUACUUUUAUGUAUUUUUUCUGUAUAAAUUUUACAUACUUACAAGAUAGGGGGAUAACUGAACCAGGGGAGAUUCUAGGAUCAGAGGUUUAGGGGUGCUGAGCAGUGCUGCCAACUUGGCGACUUUCUCGCUAAAUCUGGGGACUUUCCAAAGCCUCCUGGGGACUUUUUUUUUUGUCAAAAGGGACUAGCCACAAAUCUAGACUUUUUGGAGACUCUGACAUCAGUGGCGGAUCUUCCGUGGGGGCUAGUGGGGGCACUGCCCCCCCUGUGAUCUGAUUGGCCACCCCGUGUCCCCCCCCAAAAUUUUCGUUGGAAAUUUACAUUACUGAAACUCCGAUUUCCGACGCUCCUGAACGCAACUUCGUUGUCCGACUGCAACUGAAUGCAUCAAUGACGUCAGUUUGAUCUUUUGAUUGUAUGUUUGGAUUGGAAGAAGCUUUGAAGACGUUUCCUGAUGCAGGAGGAGAAGACGAGCAGCUUUGGACCUUUGCGGUAAGAAGACUAUGACCGUUUCUCAGUACGUAACUGUCCGGACUUACGUUCUGACGUACUCGUGAAACGUCAUCAUCGAGACUGCAUCGGACCAGACGAGUGGCAUAGAUAUGAAUGAGUAGAUAGGACACGCCCCUUUGAGCUGCGUGCGACAGCGAGGCUAAGCUAGUGGGGGCAAAGUUUCAGUGCAUUCUGUUGAUGUAAACGGCGUGAAAACGGAAACAACAAGUAUGCCGGCUAACUGUGCUGCAUACAAUUACACACUGCGUCGUACGAUUGAGACAAGGAAACUUGAAAUGACUUUUCAUAGGUAAGAAUAGUUUUUGGCUCUUUUUUCAUCAUAAAAUCUUGUUGAGAGCUUCCAGUCUAUGAGAGCUAACUAGUUAGCCACUACCAAAACGCUAAGGCGAGCUAGCAGCUUGACAAGCAAAUACCAGACGAUUAAUAGUAGCUGUAGUAUAGUUGUACAAGCAGUAGUAGUAAUACUAAAAGUACAAGCAGCAGUAGUAGUAUAAACAGCUGUUAGAGUCGUAGAAGUAGUAUCAGCAUUUGUAAUAGUAUUACAAGUUGUAGUAGCAGUGCCAGUAUCAGCAGCAGUAGUGAGUACUACCACUACUACUAGUAGUUGUCACAUUGCUAUUACUACCACCAAUACUACCAAUAGUAGUUAUAAAGCCUAACUCAUGUAUAUCCAGAUUACCAUCUAUGUUCUUCCUCCAAACCCAUUUUAUGAUUGGGAUUACAGGCAGUUCUUUAGGACUGCUCUCAAAUAAUUGAAAUGCUACUAAACAAGGUUAUACUUAUCAAAUUAAAUAACUUUGGUUUCCAGUAUAUUGGCGAAUUCAGUUCUUUGGACUUAAUUUAUUAGCAUGAUUUCUUUUUAAAUAUGUUGUGUACAGACUUAUUUACUUGUCUGUCUACUUUUCUUACUCCAUGUAGGUUUCCACUUUUCAUUGUCCACUUUUAAAAGUUCAGCAGACAGGUGCUCUGCUUUGGAGUGUGACGAUGUCGUCGGUGAUGUGGAGAGUGAAGUUUCCGUUUCACCCACAGUGUGCUUUAGGACAGCCGGGUCGGACUUGAUGUUUGAAAUACUGACCGACAGCUCAGAUUUAACUGUCUGUAGUUCCGUUUUGAUGGGUGUUAAAUUUUCACUCAAAGCCGCCAGGAGCUGGGUCUUUAAAAUAACCACCGUCUCGUUACAGAGUGAAAGUAGCAGUUCCUCCUGAAGGUCAGAGAUUGCAGCAUCUGAGGGUCUCUUCAAAAGACGACAUAGUUGAUGAAGACGUUCUGGAGCAGGACCAGAAAGACCACGACAAAGCAGCCUUGAGAUCUUAGGCAGCGUCUCCCUCAGGUCCCUCUCUAUCUCCCCACACAUCCACCAACCACUGGAACACAUCUCCAAAGUUCUGCUGGACCAGCUCAGCUUCCCCUCAGAAGAAGUGCCACCACCUGCCAGAUGAAGGAGCCUUUUGAGAGGCAGCUGGCAUCGUGAUUGGACUGUACUUUGGUCUGUUCCAAUCCAGCUUCAGCUCCAGAGACGGCAGGCGGGACGAGUCAACGGAGGCCGGGUGGACGAAGGCAUGCAGCUGAGUACAAUCCAGAAAACAACAGAGGAGGAGUGCAGCAGCCCAGAGCCAGAACAAGUAGAGUAGCAUGACCAAAGAACUACAGACUCUUCACAACCUGCUCAAACUCUUGGUACAGGACCUCACCACACGGGUCAAGAAGGUUUCUGUCUCAUUUCUACUCUGAAGCUCACCUUCUCAAACUGCUGACAAAUGUUUCUGCUGCUCUAAAGUCUGGUCUCCAGAACUUCCUAAAAACUCUCAAAGUCUCUUCUGCUGCAGGUUGCUUUGUAGAACUGUUCCAGAAAACCUCACUAAACCACAUGGAGGGGCCUCAAGAUAGUCGUCCAAAUGAAACCAUACAAAAACCAAACUAGCACAACCCAAACACUAAAGUCUCCUGCAGCCUACCAGAGAACCUCUGAGAACAGAGAAUCAGGACAGGAACUCUUACCUUCUGGACAACCAACGCUGGUUCACAAGAACACAGAAUGUGUCUGACCAAAAACCUCUAAAUACUCACUACAGCCAAGAUAAAGACAACUCAGCUGCAGCAAAUCCACUAAUCACUGUACACAUUAGCACCAUGUGAUAACUGUGGCUAAAGAACCACAUUUACCAAGACAACUAUCCAGUACAAAGCCCUAAAACACACCAAGAAACACAUUAAAGAUGAUUUUACUGCUGGAAGCUGCAAGCUGAUGCCUAAAGAACAAACUCAAGCAAUGGAGCCAAACCCGGUUCACUGGUGAACAGAAGCAGAGGAAAUGUUUGUCUGCAGCUAAACAAAGCAGGAAGACACUGAGCUGCUCAGGUGUUCCUGAUAACACCAAGCAGCCACCUGGACAGCCAAUAGGAACACAGCUUACUGGAAGUCCAGAGGGCUGGCUUAGUGAAGGAAAUUUAGUUUAAAGUUGAAGCAGAAAGUUAACAAAGAAAGUUGAAAACCACCUUCUGAUACCUGAAAUCUCUGAGUUUUCACACAAAGAACACCUGAACAUGUCAAACUGGUUCCAUAGUAGAACCCUCAUUGUAAAAACGUCAUAGUAUGGUGUGUUGCUCAAAAAACAUUAGGACCCGGCUGUCUAGGGUCACCAAGGAGUAACACAAAAACAGGACAAACGCUGGUUUCCAGGGGGUUAGGAGGAUAUUUAUUUGAAAGAGGAAGUUUACAACAACACAACAUGUGAGCAGAAAAAUCACAAAGUCUGUCUUUAGUUCAGAUGAAAAUAUUAGUUUUUGUCUUUUUUAUUGACCAGACUUUUCAGGAAGUAGAUGAAAAAUAAUUAAAGCUCUCAUGUAGAAGUCCAACUUAUUUUGGAUCCUUGUGGAGAGUUUAAUCUUAGAGUUUGUAAAGGUGUUGAGUUUUUAGAGUCACAUGGAUUGUUUUGAAAUUUAAUAACCGAGUCCUGAAAUAAAAUUACAGUUGUGGAUUUCUGUCAUUUAGGUUUUCUUUGAAAAAAAAUCAUCAUGAAUUUUGGCGGAAAAAAAACGCCAUAGUAUAAUAUGUCUAAAAAUGUAAUUUUUCAACAUGUUGUCAAAACAUGCCAUAUGAUGAAAUAAUGUAAAGGAGGCCAUGAAAAACACUCCAGAAAGGUUUACUUUGAAAAAAAAUCAAAAUGAAUUCUGGGGCAAAAAAAACGCCAUAGUAUACUAUGUCAAAAAAAAAUGCAAUUUUUCAACAUGUUGUAAAAACGUGCCAUAUGAUGAAAUAAUGUAAAGGAGGCUGUGAAAAACACUCCAGAAAGGUUUUCUUUGAAAAAAAAUCCUCAUGAAUUUUGCCGCAAAAAAAAAAAACAUAGUAUACUAUGUCGGAAAAAAAAUGCGAUUUUUCAACAUGUUGUAAAAACAUGCCAUAUGAUGAAAUAAUGUAAAGGAGGCUGUGAAAAACACUCCAGAAAGGUUUUCUUUGAAAAAAAAUCAACAAGAAUUUUGGCGCAAAAAAAAGGCCAUAGUAUACUAUGUCAAAAAAAAAAGUGAUUUUUCAACAUGUUGUAAAAAUGUGCCCUAUGAUGAAAUAAUGUAAAGGAGGCCGUGAAAAACACUCAAUUCAAUUUAGGGGUGUUUGAGCACCCCCCCCAAAAUGAGCUAGAAACGCCUAUGAACUGAAUCUUCUUCCUUAAUAAUUCCUAUUUUAGUUUGUUUGGUGUGGUGCCAGGAUUACUACGCAGAUGUGGAAAUGAAUGUGAAUUUAAAAUAAUUUUUACAAGCUGUUUUGAUCAUAAAGUAAAAUACUAUAUCGUUCAGUUCCAGAUACCUGUGACUGAAUGUUUUGCGCCUUCAGAGGCACUUGUGAUCUUCAAGUUGUAAUGUGUAAAUGAUAAACUGAGGCAUAUUGUUACUGAAACUGCACUUAACUUUGUUAAGAAAUUUCAGGUUGUUCAUAAUGUUAUGCAAAAUGAUAGUAUAUUAAAUGUGAACAUUUUCAGAA